UACGUAGGGUGCAAGCGUUGUCCGGAAUUAUUGGGCGUAAAGAGCCCGUAGGCGGUUUGUCGCGUCUGCUGUGAAAACUCGGGGCUUAACCCCGGGCCUGCAGUGGGUACGGGCAGACUAGAGUGCGGUAGGGGAGACUGGAAUUCCUGGUGUAGCAGUGAAAUGCGUAGAUAUCAGGAGGAAUACCGAUGGCGAAGGCAGGUCUCUGGGCUGACACUGACGCUCAUGCACGAAAGCGUGGGGAGCAAACAGG
rnacentral:rRNA from 1 species